UACAGAGGUCCCAAGCGUUGUUCGGAUUCAUUGGGCGUAAAGGGUGCGUAGGCGGCGCGGUAAGUCGGGUGUGAAAUCUCGGGGCUUAACUCCGAAACUGCAUUCGAUACUGCCGUGCUUGAGGACUGGAGAGGAGACUGGAAUUUACGGUGUAGCGGUGAAAUGCGUAGAUAUCAGGAGGAACACCUGCGGUGUAGACAGCUUUCUGGACCACUUCUGACGCUGAGACACGAAAGCGUGGGUAGCAAACAGG
rnacentral:rRNA from 1 species